rnacentral:rRNA from 1 species
AGUUUUAUCAUGUAAAGCGAAUGAUCAGAAGAUAAACAGCACUUUGUGUUGUUUUUUGGGGAAGGACAUUCCUUGACUUAUUCUCAAACUUUUAAGUGGUAAUGAAAAACACUCUUCUCUAACAUUCAAAGGGUGUUUAUAAUAUUGCAAGUCACAAGUGGGCCACAUCUGGUAAGCAGAACUGGCGAUGUGGGAUGAACCAAACGUACGCGAGUUAAGGAGCCUAAGGGCGGCACUCAUGCAGAGCCCAGAAAGGGCGUCGAUUCAUACAGACAGCAAGACGGUGGCCACGGAAGUCGGAAUCCGCUAAGGAGUGUGUAACAACUCACUUGCCGAAUGAAUCGGCCCCUAAAAUGGAUGGCGCUCAAGUGCCGCGAAUUAUUUAUUUCCGAUACUCGACUGACAACGCACACAUAAUGAGGUGUUGUCAAGUAGGAGGACGCGUGAAGGUUGUUGGGAAGCUGUAUGCGGGCGACCGCGUGUGGAACAGCCUUUAGUGCAGAUCUUGGUGGUAGUAGCAAAUACUCAAGUAGAAAACGUAUUGCUUGAGGACCGAAGUGGAGAAGGGUUUCAUAUCAAUAGCAAGUACAUAUGAAUGAGCCGGUCCUAAAUGGAAUAGGGAAACCUUUUAAAAGUAAAUACGCGGUUUGCGCCGUUUACGUGUUAUAAAAGGGAAUUAGGUUAAUAUUCCUAAGCCGAUUAUGGGUUAAUCAUAAGAAAUUGUGAUUUUUUGAUGGCAACAUGAGAGAACUUUGGGACUUUGAUCGUAGCUCUGUGAAAAGUUAUCUUUUCUUUCUAAUUUAUUUAGAACACGCAUUUUGUGUGUUGUAAAGACCCCCGAAAUAAAUCAAUUAGAGAAGGCAAACCAAUAAACACACGUUUAUUGGCGGUUAGAAAUAAAGAAUGGUCAUUUCGUUACUCGUACGUGAAUGAUUUUAGCGAGCGUCGCGAUUAAACCUUGAAAACCAAAGGGCGUAAAAUAAGCUUUUCAUAAUCGACCGUACCAAUAACCGCAACAGGUCUCCAAGGUUAGAAACCUCUGGUCUAUUAGGGAAGGAACGUAGGUAAGGGAAGUCGGCAAAAUAGCGCCGUAAGUUUGCAAUAAGGCGUGGCUCUGAAGGAUUUUUCUGUGCUGUGUUUUUAUUUCUUGUCUUUAAUAAGAAUGAUAACAUAAAAAGUAAACGCGCAUUCACGUGUGUGUUUAUUUUUUUAUAUUUGAUUUUUUAUUGAAUUUGAAUAAAAUAGCGAUAUUUUAUAUUGAAUCGGGUAAGAAAGGCGGGAAUAGCAAUAUUUCCGUUUUAUAAAAAUACAACACAAAUAACAAAGAAAUUUGUUAAUUGUAAUUCAAUUCAGAACUGAAACAAACCAAGGGAAUUCGACUGUUUAAUAAAAACAAAGCAUUGUGAUGGUCCGGACGCCGAGGAUGGUGACACAAUGUGAUUUCUGCCCAGUGCUCUGAAUGUCAAGGUGGAGAGAUUCCAAGCAAGCACGGGUUAACGGCGGGAGUAACUAUGACUCUCUUAAGGUAGCCAAAUGCCUCGUCAUCUAAUUAGUGACGCGCAUGAAUGGAUUAAUGAAAUUCCCACUGUCCCUAUCUACCAUCUAGCGAACCCACUGCCAAGGGAACGGGCUUGGCACAAUCAGCGGGGAAAGAAGACCCUGUUGAGCUUGACUCUAGUCUGACUUUGUGAAAUGACUCUUGAAGUGUAGAAUAAGUGGGAGAAAAUGACUCGUUUGUUUUCGCUCUUGAAAUACCACUAUUCAAGAAGUUGUUUUACUAAGUUAAUUAAGUAAUGAUUUUAAAUAAUUACUUGGUAAUUGACGUUUAAUUAUUUUUGGAAUUAAAAAAUAACACACGCACAGAAGAUAUUUCCGUGCCGCUGUGUAUUUUGAAUUAUAUUAAUAAUUAAAGUCAGGUGGGGAGUUUGGCUGGGGCGGCACAUCUGUUACAAGAUAACGCAGGUGUCCUAAGAGCAGCUCAACGAGAACAGAAAUCUCGUGUGGAGCAUAAGGGCAAAAGCUUGCUUUGAUUUCGAGAAGAUUUUCAGUACGAAUACAAACCAUGAAAGUGUGGCCUAGCGAUCCCUAAUGAUGUUUUAUAACAUACCCGAGUAUUCGGGUUGAGAUGAAACGUACCUCGGAGUUUUUUUUGUGAUGAGGCUUGGGGUGUCAGAAAAGUUACCACAGGGAUAACUGGCUUGUGGCUGUCAAGCGUUCAUAGCGACACAGCUUUUUGAUCCUUCGAUGUCGGCUCUUCCUAUCAUUGUGAAGCAGAAUUCUCAAAGUGUCGGAUUGUUCACCCGUCAAAAGGGAACGUGAGCUGGGUUUAGACCGUCGUGAGACAGGUUAGUUUUACCCUACUGGUGAAAACACUACUUGAGACAUUUAAUAAGAGUAAAUCAACUCAGUACGAGAGGAACCGUUGGCUCACAUAAUUGGCAUGGCCACUUGGCCGACCGGUCAAUGGUGGGACGCUACCAUGUGUUGGAUAAUAACUGAAAGCCUCUUAAGUUAGAAUCCUUGCUUGAAAUUUUUAAGUGUCUAAUAAAACGCGGGUUUCCUGUGUUUUGGGAUAAAAAAUGAAAAUAAACACAAUUAGAAAUAUUUUUUUUAAUAAAUAAUAUUUGAAUAAUAUCACGUAAAAAAAAAGAAGGCCUUUUUAUGUGUUUUAUUUGGAAUGGUUAAGUUUUUAUUCGUCUUUUACCCUUUUGCCAAAGAGGGCCUGCAUAUCACGGGUACAAAAAGACAUUCUUUUUUUGGAACAGGGGAUUGUACGUGUUAGAGCUAAUUCCCUACGCAGGAGAGAAUGAA